rnacentral:rRNA from 1 species
UACGAAGGGGGCUAGCGUUGUUCGGAUUUACUGGGCGUAAAGGGCGCGUAGGCGGUGCGAUCAGUCAGGCGUGAAAGCCCCGGGCUCAACCUGGGAAUUGCGCUUGAUACUGUCGUGCUUGAAUCCAGGAGAGGAUGGCGGAAUUCCCAGUGUAGAGGUGAAAUUCGUAGAUAUUGGGAAGAACACCGGUGGCGAAGGCGGCCAUCUGGCCUGGCAUUGACGCUGAGGCGCGAAAGCGUGGGGAGCAAACAGG